AAAAGAAAGAAAAGAAAGGGAAGUGGAAGGGAAGGGGAAGGGAAGGGCAGGGAAGGGAAGGGAAGGGAAGGGAAGGCAAGGCAAGGCAAGGCAGGAAAAGGAAAGGAGAGAAAGGAAGGGAAGGGAAGGGAAGGGAAGGGAAGGGAAGGGAAGGGAAGGGAAGGGAAGGAAAGGGAAGGAAAGGGAAGGAAGGGAAGGGAAGGGAAGGGAAGGGAAGGGAGGGAAGGGAAGGGAAGGGAAGGGGAAGGGAAGGGAAGGAAGGGAAGGGAAGGGAGGGAGGGAGGGAGGGAGGGAGGGAGGGAGGGAGGCAGGAGGGAGGGAGGGAGGAGGGAAGGGAGGGAAGGGAGGAAGGGAGGGAAGGGAGGGAAGGGAAAGAGGGAAAGAAGGGAGGAAAAGAAAGAAGGGGGGAAGGGAGGAAGGGAGGAAGGGAGGAAAAGAAGGAAGGGAGGAAGGGAGGAAGGGAGGAAGGGAGGAAGGGAGGGGAAGGGAGGGAGGAAGGGAGGGAGGGAGGGAGGGAGGGAGGGAGGGAGGGAGGAAGGAAGGAAGGAAGGAAGGAAGGAAGGAAGGAAGGAAGGAAGGAAGGAAGGAAGGAAGGAAGGAAGGAAGGAAGGAAGGAAGGAAGGAAGGGAAGGGAAGGAAGGAAGGAAGGAAGGAAGGAAGGAAGGAAGGAAGGAAGGAAGGAAGGAAGGAAGGAAGGAAGGAAGGAAGGAAGGAAGAAGGAAGGAAGGAAGGAAGGAAGGAAGAGAGGGAGGGAAGGGAGAAAGGAGGAAGGGAGGAAGGGAGGAAGGGAGGAAGGGAGGAAAGGGAGGAAAGGGAGGGAAGGGAGGAGGGAGGGAGGGAGGGAGGAGGGAUGGAGGGAGGGAGGGAAGGAGAGAGGGAGGGAAGGAGAGAGGGAGGGAAGGAGAGAGGGAGGGAAGGAAGGGAGAGAGAAAGGGAGGGUCUGAGGCAGAAAGGGAGAUAGAGAGGGAAGGAGGAAAGCUAAUAAAUGUGUAUAGAAUCAUAGAAUAUCCUGAGUUGGAAGAAGCCCACAGUGUUCACUGAGUACAACUCCUGGCUCCAUAAAGGACUACGCAAAAAUCAAAGCAUAUGUCUGAGAUCAUUGUACAAAUACUUCUUGAAUUUCAGACGGUAUGGCUUUUUUUGUUUUGUUUUGGUUUUUUUUGUUUUUUUUUGGGGGGGUAUGGGGAUGGGGGGGUGAGGGGGUUGUUUUGUGGUUUUUUUUCAUGUUUUUCUAAGAUUACAUAUUUUUUUUUAAAUUAUAAAUAUAAAUAUAUAUAUAUUUUCCUUUAUAACAGUCUGUAUAGCUUAUGCCUACAGUGGUUACUUUUAAC
rnacentral:lncRNA from 1 species